UUUUAUAUACUGCUAAUACAAUUGAGAAAAACUCAAUUAUCUAUUAAACUAUAUGAAUUCUCAAUGUUUGUUGCCACAUGGCAAGUUUUUCUUCACUCUCACUAACAUGUGACUCUUCUUCUUUCCAUUACUAAAUUUUCAAUAUGCAUUUUAACGGUCCCAUUAACCAAACUUUUAAUUAGUGUAUUUAAAUGAUUCCACUACCUUCCCUCCACUAUACUUUCAAUUAAUAUAAAUGGUUUCACUAACAAACUUUCAAUUAGUAUAUUUAAAUUGUCCUACUACUAUCUACGAUCCUAAUCUCUCUAUCUCCAAUUAUUCAUCAUGUUCACUAAAUUUUCAAUAUGCAUUUUAAGUGUCCCAUUAAUCAAACUUUCAAUUAGUGCAUUUUAAUGGUCCAACUACCUUCCCUUCACUAUACUUUUAAUUAAUGUAAAUGAUUUCACUACCAAACUUUCAAUUAGUAUAUUUAAAUGGUCAUACUACUAUCUACGAUCCUAAUCUCUCUAUCUCCAAUUUUUCAUCAUAGCCCAUUUUCCUCCUACCGAACUUUUAAUUUUUUAUCACCGAUUUGUUCAUUAAUUUUCUAUCUCUCAUCUUUAGCUAUACACUAUCGCCUCCUUCCCUCGCUCCCUCUCUCUCUCUCACUAAUGUGCGCCCAAUUCCUUCUUCCGCCGCGGUAGGAGAGAUCGUCGUCACCGUCACUAUCACCUUCGCCAGAGAAUGCAUCGUCAGGUUCAUAUCUGCCGCCUACAGUGAGAUACUUUCGGUAGAUGUAUCAAAUAAGAUACACAAAAGAAUAUUUAAUAUUUUAUUGUUAUUAAUUAUUA
rnacentral:lncRNA from 1 species